CUGGGCCAGAAGCUCCCAAUCAGAUGAUCCAACGACAGGACUGAGGGUUCCCGAGCUCAUGUCAUCACCCUCACUGAGCCGUGGGAUCAAGGCCAUCAAGCUACAGAUGUUCCUACGAAUGGAACCCCAAAUGAGCUCAACUCACAACUUCUACCAAGAACCCCUGGACCAACCCACUGGCCCUUUGACUGGCCUAGAGAGUUCCCCUCUGGAGGACACUACAACUGCAGGGCCCCUUCUUCAUCCCUAUCCAGCAGAAAGUAGCUAGAGCAGUCAUCACCCAAUUCCCAACAGCAGUUGGGGUGUCCUGUUUAGAGGGGGGAUUGAGAGGUGAAGCCAGCUGGACUUCCUGGGUCAAGUGGGGGCUUGGAGAUCUUUUCUGUCUUAGAAGGAGAUUGUAAAAGUCACCAAUCAGUGCUCUGUAAAAAUGCACCAAUCAGUGCUCUGUAACUAGCAAGAGAAUUGAAAAAUGCACAAUCAGCGCUCUGUAAAAUGCACCAAACAUCAGGAUCCCAAAAGUAGCCAAUCUCAGGGAGGAUUGAAAAAAGGGCACUCUGACAGGACAAAAACAGAACAUAGGAGGGGACAAAUAAGGGAAUAAAAGCUGGCUACCCCAGCCAGCAGAGGCAACCUGCUUGCAUCCCCUUCCACACUGUGGAAGCUUUGUUCUUUCGCUCUUCACAAUAAACCUUGCUACUGCUCACUCUUUGGGCCCGUGCCACCUUUAAGAGCUGUAACACUCACUGCAAAGGUCUGCGGCUUCAUUCUUCAUUCACUGGAAGCAACCAACUUGGGACACACCACCAUGCCUGGUUAAUUUUUUGUAUUUUCAGUAGAGGUGGGGUUUCACUGUGUUAGCCAGGAUUGUCUUGAUCUCCUGACCUCAUGAUCUGCCUGCCUCUGCCUCCCAAAGUGCUGGGAUUACAGGCGUGAGCCGCUAUGCCCGGUGAACACAUACAUUUUCAACAGAAGAGCAAGAGAGCAUAGAACCCAGAAUAGCAGAGGCAUAUAGGCCCCGUUUUGCAGGAGUCAAAUAACUUAAUUCUUAGCACAAUCCUGUAAGAUGAAUUCUGUUAUAAUCCCACUCUCUAGAUAAAGAAUUCAAGGCACCAAGAGUUUAGUUCAUGAGCAGUAAGAGAUUUGGGCCCAAGUGGUUUUGUGUCAAAGCUUAUGCUUGGCAUAAUUUUUUGAUAGAGAGCCAGAUGGUAAAUAUUUUGGAAUAUUAGUGUUCAAAUAGUCUGUGUCACAACUAGUGCCUCUGCUGUUGUAACAUAAAAGCAGCCAUAGCCAAUGUAUAAAAGAAUAGCUGUCAACUUAAAUGCCCAUCAAUGAUAGAUUGGAUAAAGACGAUGUGGUACAUAUACACUAUGGCAUACUAUGCAGCCAUGAAAAACAAUGAGAUCAUAUCCUGUGCAGGAACAUGGAUGGAACUGGAGGUCCUUAUCCUUAGCAAACAAACACAAGAACAGAAAACCAAAUAUUGCAUGUUUUCACUUAUAAGCAGGAGCUAAAUGAUGAGAACACAUGGAUACAUAGAGGGGAACAGCACACACUUGGGCCUAUUGGAGGGUGGAGGGUGGGAGUGGGGAGAGGAUCAGGAAAAAUAACUAAUGGGUAGUAAGCUUAGUACCUGGGUGAUAAAAUAAUCUGUAUAACAAACCCCUAUGACACAUGUAUACCUAUGUAACAAAGUGGCACAUGUAACCCUGAACUUAAAAGUUAAGAAAAAAGAAUGGGUUAUGUAUGUGUUCUAAUAAAACUUUACUUGUAAAAACUGGUGAAGGCCAGAAUCUGGGUUGUCACAUGGGGCAGGAAGAGAUGAGGACUGAGGAAAAGAGGAAGAAGUCAAGACAGAGGAAUAAGGGAG
rnacentral:lncRNA from 10 species